UAUGCCGUUUACGGCUAUGGACCUUUCCUAUGUUUCCGCUUCACUUGACUAGUGAGAGGAGUCCUUUCUACCUUCCCCUGGGUUUGUGUUGGAUCCGGCGUUGGCCGAUGAGGCAAGGCACGAGCGGGAGUCGUACUUGCCGCCUAGAGAGUGAGAGUGUGGUGAGAUGUGUGUGAUGGGAUGGAUGGAUGGAUGUGUGGAAGAGAUGGAAUAAAACUUGAUGAAUUAUUACUAUAUAAUAUUGAUGAACUUACAUAGGAAAAACUACAGCCAUAUAUAUAGGCCUCUUGAAUCACCCUUGCAUUCCACUUACCACAAAGCUUACGCAAAAGCAUAGGGUGGGAGCCAGUGGCCAGUACAAAUCGUACUAAAAAUUGUUUAGCAGGUUUUGAACGUGGUCCAUGACGAUGACUACGGAGAAUAGAAGGAUUAGGUGGUCUUGUUCCUGCGCUCAAGUUUGGUUCGGAGAUGAAGGCUACGCCCGCUGAUAAACUAUGCCGACUCUGAUGAUUGCCUGUGAAGGAGGAGCCUUCACCGCUGACGCGCUACAUCAACUUUGAUAUAGACCCGUGUGUGUUUCCGCUAGAAAAACGAUGUAAUAGGCUGGUUGACCAAGAGUUGUAAAGUAAAUGUGAUGUAAUCUUGUUUUUCACGAUGUAUGACUAUGAUAACAGCUGAUAUAUGAUAAUGUGAUGGAUCAAUUUUUGAAUUAUCACAUUAUAAUUCGAAUCUGAGGAUUUUUCCCUUUGUGGAAAAAAUCUAGGUCGUUUCAGUUGGUAUCAGAGCCAUACUUGACCCUAGGACGAGACCUUUAGGACCAAACGCUAGUUUAGAAGCCAAACAUUCUAUCUUUUGUAGAGUUAUAGAUGCUAACACUUGUUUUCCCCCUCCGCCUUGAAUUCUGCUGCUAACUGACCUCCCUGUUUCAUAAAGUUGACCGUUGGAAUCCUUUCCCAUACCCGCCCACGCUAGAUCGGUAAUCGUGUGAGACUUUGAAGGUCUGUGAGCCGCCUCAAGUCAACACUAUGCAUUAGGAGUUGUAAUGCUGUUUGAGUGCUUGGAUCUUAUGUUGUUGCAUUUCUUCUGCUUCUUGUUGUCUGAGUGUAAGUCAUAGAACCUGUUUUAUGCGAGAAAGACUCUGGAUCCCAUCCAACCUAGCCGACUAAACCUAAGACCGUCCUGAGACUAGAUAGGUGACCCUGGCUAACAGAGCUGAAAAUGGGUGUAAAGCUGGUGCAUCAUGUCUUGCCCAUCUAUUUCAAAACUGUUUUUGGCUUCCAACUAAACUUGUCUUCAAAAUUGCCACUUGGUUUGAAAAAUUUUCUCUCCUUUUUGGUUAAAGUAUUUCCCUUUUUAACAAAAGCAUCUCUAUUUCAAAUGGAAAAGUGUUUCAAAACUCUCCCAAUACCUUCCCUUUUCACAAAUAAAGCAAUUUUAACUCCUUUCUCAACUUAAUUUUAUUCAAAAGCUAUUUUAUGAAACAAUUUUAAAACAAAUCAUCUUGCAAAAGGUGUGACAAAACCUCUUCCAAAUAUAUAUAUAUAUAUAUAAUAAAAUAAAGGUUUUGCCUUUUUCAUCAACAAAGUGGUUUUCAAACCAAAGAACUUUGGCUCAGUUUUGUUUUAAAGGCCUUUGACUUUAUCUCAGGAGCCAAAUUCCUUUAAAAAUCCAUCUUGUCUUAAAAGAAAAAAAAAAUUGCCAGUGAUUUAUUAAACAAAAACCAUUGCGAAAAGAUUUUAUUUGCAUCCUUUCAAGGAAAAGUUUUAGCAAAACCAAAAUGAACUUACAGGUUUUAAAAGAAAAUGCUUUUGUUGUUAAAGCUUUAACCUUCAAAAUGAGAAAUGAUUUCUAAUCAUUUUCAAAACUAGUUUGUUUAAUUCAAAAAAAAGGAGCAAUACCUUGUUUUAAGGAAAAUAGUAAUAAUAAAAUAAAAGAAUUUUAAAAUCUCUCGAUUUGAAAUCUUUUAUAACAAAACCUUCAGAAGAUUUGGUUUUCAAAACUUGCAUUGAUUUCAACCCUCUUCAAAAGCUCUCUUCAUUUUGAAGUCUCAAAAAAAAAACUCGACUUUGUAAAAGCGCUUUCACUCUGUUUUUGAAACCUGUUUCCCAAAAAAAUCCCUUCCUUCAAAAGCUUGUUGCAAAGAGUAAUGCACGAAAAACAGCUUUUGAAAGCUGACAACCCUAGCUACGUUUAAGCCUGCCAAGCACUCUUUGAGAGCCAGAUGUUCAUCAACCCCGUGCGAUUCUUGGACACCCAAUGCCCUGGUGUGAAAAUUUGGAUACCCAACAACUGCAAGUGACGUGGAUACACCCGGAACAUGACUCACUCCCAAUUUUGGAAAAAGGUCUGUGGAGUGAUCAUACUGAAAGUGAAACAACUCAGAAGUAAGAAGAACUUCGGGAAUAGCACCCUUGCUUCUUCACCAACCGAGCAACGCCUAAAUCUCGGGGACGAGAUUCCUCUAAGGAGGGUGGACUGUAACAUCCCGGAUUUUUACGAAAAACCAAAAAUACGAACUUUUUAAAAUUUUUCCUGUAAUCGUGUGAAGCAUAUAGUUUCUAGGUCUAACUCGAUCCUAACCCGCUAACAAAACGUCGCAUUCAUAUAGAAUCGUUUGUAGACGAGUGCUCUUAAUCGCGAGUCGUCUUAAGUUGGGUCUUGUUUAGGGUUUUGAGUUUCUUUUGGAGUGCACAAAUCCGUAGCAAAGUCUUUCUGAAUCUCUGUUGAGCCUAUCUCAAAGGCGAAGCGAAUCCCUUCUCAAUCUUUCCGUUGGAGUACGUCUCAAACUCCAUUGGAUUUUAUCCGAUCUCCUUUUGAAUCUUCUCCAACUCCUUUUGUUUUCAUUCCAUUGUGUUUAAUCAAAAAUAGAAAACCAUUUUCUCCUCCUCUCUUAUUUUUCUCUCCUUUCUCCCCCUCGUGCAUGCCCAUCCAGGCCUCCUAGCGCCCCCCUCCCUGGCCCAUAGCGUGGACAGCAGCGCCGGCCCACCCCCUCCCCUCUCCGCGGCCCAGCUACCUCUCCCUUGGCCCAAGCCACCCAGCGGCCCAGCUCCAAGCCACGCGGCCCAGGCAGAGGCCCAACCGGCGCCAUCCCCCUUCCAACCGCGCGGCCCAGCCAGCUCCCCAUCUCCACUCCACGGCCCGCGCAGCAGCCAAGGCCCACCUAGCCCAAGACCAGCACCCCUGGAACCCUAGGUGUGCCCCCUGGCUCCCAGACGCCGUCGCCGCGCCCCUGCAGCGCCGCACUCGUGCCCUGGACGCCCGUGCUGCUGCCAGAUGAGCGCCACGCGGCCCGCCCAACGGCACGGACGCCGAGGAUCACCGCCCGCAGCGCCUAGCACCCCUGGAACCCUAGGCCACGACGCGUAUAAGAGCCCGAGCCGCCGCCCUCCUCUUCUAUCCCACGACGCCGCCGCUCUGCUCCACCACCCAGUGACGCCAAGCACCACCUCGCCCCGGAGCCAGAGCCGCCGCGCCGCGCCGCGCCGAGCUUCGGCCUCGCCCUCGCCCCGGCCGCCGCGACGACGCCAUCAGACCGCGUGCUCGCCACGGUCGCCACGUCCAGGAGCGACGCCGCGGCGAGUGCUCCCUUUUCGUCGAGCUCCACCACGACAGCGCCACGACCGCCGUGCGUCCUCGACCCGAGCCGCGACGCCGGACUUCGACAGCACCUCGUCAAGCUUCGCCCUCGCGCAUCCGUCGCCGCCGAGCCGAGCGUCGACGCCGAGCGUUCCGCACCGAGCAGGAGCCCAGCACGCCCACGACGGCCGACCACUGCGGGUGUGUCGCGGCAUAACCGCGGGCACGCCGAGCCCCGUCCCCGAGCCACCACGACGACGCCGUGCUCGAGCCCCAUCGCCCCCGUGUCGUCCUCGCCAAGUCGAGCAGCCGCGCCACCGCCGAGCUCGCCGCGGUCACCACGUCAGCGCCGGCCAUGGUGAUCGCGAACCCGACCACGACGUCGUGCUCAGCGUGCCAUGGUGACCGCGAACUUCUCCUUUUGCUGGCCACCGUUCAUCUCUGCACGUGCAGCACAGCCUCAGCAGCAGCAGCACCCCAUCUUCGGCAACAUCCACUGCCGCUGGUGAGACAGUAGGCAAGCUUUGUUCUUCUCCUCAUUGUGGUUGACCUUGUCGCUGUCCUUGCUGAGACCGGCCUUCGUGCCAUGUUUUACUGCUGUCACAGGGAGGCCUCGGACCUGCUACACCUUCCCACGGAAGCCGCAACGCUAGAGCUACCAUGAGUGGAACCUCGCAGCACCGCUGAUCGCCUUUGCAACAUUUUGCCGAGCACCGGCCAAUGACGAAGCCGCGCGACCAAGCAUGACCACCACUUCGCUGCAUCCGAAGAACAACAGCUGCUACCACAGCCCAUCGGCUCCAAGGUCGAGCCCCGAACCCUAGUUGGCGUCAUUCCCGAUGCCAACAAAAACCCUAUUCUGCUUUCAUACACUUGCUAUAUGAUUCAUCUUUAUCCAUCUAUCUAUACUUGUCGAUACAUGAAUUAUUUAUUCUAUGCCUGUGCCGUGCCUUCGUGCCGGUCUGUUUAUCUAUCCGUUUAUCUAUCUCUGUUGGUCGCUAUGGAAAUGUGCUACUCUACUUUGUCUUUGUGUUGGUCGCGGCAUUGUGGUUCUUUGUGCGUUGGUUCUUGUGUCAUGUGGUUGGUUGGUUGUGAACCGUGCCUUCGAGCCGGUUGAGAGAGUGAUGUGUUUGAAUGUUGCGAUCGCGAGUUGUCUCGCCAUGGUCGUAGUGCCAAGCAUAUCCCUUCUCGGGUUGUCGUCGUUCUUUCUUUUGUUAUUUGCCUGAGGACUGAGCCUUCGAGCCGGUCGGGGAAGUGGUAGUGCGUUUGAUCAUUUCGAUCGUGGGUUCGUCCCGCCGUGAUCGCGAUGCCGAGCGUAACUCGUCUCCCCGUGUUUAGUUGACUUCGUUGCGCUACGGUCGUUAGCUCCUAUUCCCGUCCCUCGGACGUGGUCAUCGUGGACUCGAUGUCGUUAACGACGCGGUUCUUACCCGCACACCCGAGACCUAAAUGACCUAGUCGAGUGGGAUACGAAUUAGGGGACAACCUUCGUGGAACAGUCGGAGGCCAACUCGUUAGGUGAAGCUCAUGGUCGCGAGACGCCUCGCCAUGGCCAUUGAGCCUAUCCCAUUUUUCUCGCGUGUUUAUUUAUUCUGUCUCGUAUGCUUAUGCCACCUAGACCCGGGCAUUUCCCUAGUUCCCGCGAUGACAACCGCAUCGCCUGAAACUACGGAAAUGACCUUGUGCCGAUUCAGAAGCACCUAGGUUGAGAAGUGUUAUGAGUUGGAGUAGAUCGUGGGGUCGUAUCUCUUUUAACCAAUCGUCGUUCGCUCCAUGGCGAGUUGGUCGAAAGAGUGUGAUUCAUUCUUCUUCUCUCUUGUUCUCAAUCCCAUCGAUCCAGUAAGAUGUGGAUUAAGCCUCUUUUGCUUGUUUGAUGUUUCGUUUCCAAUCCCGUGAUUCUCGCUGUUGCUAUGGCGAGUGGGUCACACGAAGAUGAAUCUCGUAUCCCUUCCCUGCCUUUUUGGUUCUUUGUGCUUAAACUCUUGUAUGUUUGUACUUAAUCAACCGUAGCAUUUCUUUGGUUCUCGCGGUGACAACCGCACCGCUAAGAACCUUAGUGAUGUCUUAGUGCAUUUAGUGCACCUAGGUUGUGGCGCCCUACAAGUAGUUUGAGCACUCGUGUCCUUGGUGUGUCACUCCCUCUUAUGCCCUGUCUUUUGCCGUGGCAUGAGUAUUGGAAGGAGUAGACCACUUCCCUUCUUCUUCUCUCUUUAUUCCACCCUCUCUUGGCUCUCUCCAACUACAAUGGCGUAUGGGUUGAGAGAGACCGGAACUUCUCGUGCUCAUAGUCUUUACGAUUCCUGUCGAUCUCUAUGACACUUGGAUCGAAAGACCGUAAGCUGUGGUGUUUGCUUAGAAUGAGUUAGAGUCUAAGCCAUUUAUUAAAGCCGUACAGGUCGACACGAUCGACCCGGGAAGUACCGGCUAGGCUAAGACUCAAGCUUGUACUUGGUGAACAACCAUUUCCGUUUCUUUUAGCCCAGGGAUCGGACACCCACCGAGAGGGCUAAGCCGUUUUCCUUUUGGUGCUCUUUCAGUGUAGUUGUCCUUCAGUGUUUUGUCGCCUCUUUUCACAGUCUUUCUAGGACUAGUGGAUUGAUUGUUUCGCCUUGUUUGUCGUUUACGAGGUAGUUGCUUCGGGUAGCGUUGAUCGAAUCGGAACCAGUUGAAGGAAGGACAUGCAGAUAGGAGAAAGACCUUGGAUGAGUACAACUACAAGUGAACUGAGGAUCUUGGAAAUGUCACUCGACAGGUGCCACGUCCCACCCAACCUCGUAGAAUCCUAUUAGACAUACAAUAUGUAGAUGCUAGUGCUUUACUUUUAUGCAAAUGAAUUGAGAUAGGUUGCAUGGUAGAAAUGCUUGUGAGCCAUUGCCUUGUUGCAACCUAUAACCCUCGCACACCCGCUGUUAGGUUAGACGCUUGCAAACUACUUGCUACUACUUCUACUACGCAUUAUAUCUGUGAUGUGAUGCAUUGUGGAGGAUUGGAUGUGAGUGGAUCAGGCACGUGGUGCCGAUAACUGGUUAAGAAAUGGAUAAUGGAUUUGGGGAGAUCUUGGCGUGUGUCUUGGGUGUGUGGUGAGGGUCGAGUCGACCGAGCAGGAUCUACGACGAGUCUUGGGACAAGUCUUGCCGGAGGACGCUACCUGGGCGUUCUCCACGAGAGAUACCUGUGGCGGGUACAUGUGACAGGGAGAGGUCCCGGAGUGGAGUGUCUUCGUGGGACGAAGCACCGGGAUGGGAGGUGCUGUUUAGCACGGGGUAAUCGGAUGUCCCGUCGAGCGGGGCAUCGGUUGGCCCCUCGUGAAGAUGUCCUGUUCGGUCACCCUAAGGACUGAGAUGUCCUGAGAACCGGUUCGUAGGAAGCCUUGCAUUCCCACUCGCCUUAGCCAUGGAACGGGACGGAUGUACGACCAGCUAGGGCGGUGCCACUACUACUAGGUUGUUAGCGGAAAGUGUAGGGAGGUACGGGCCUGGGACCCACACCCUCCUAAGACAGCGUAGUGACCUUGGGGGCCCGGUACUACGUCUCACAGUCUCAGCAUGCCGGUGGUACUCCGGCAUGGCCCCAGUCCUGAGUGGUAGGGUGGCAUCGUGUUUAGUUGGAAGGCAGCCCGGUAUCAGCCUAGACGAUGUACAGCUUCGAUGAUGGUGAUCUUGUGGGUAGUGCAAACCUCUGCAGAGUUUUUGGUUGAUCGAUCGAUACAUAUGCCGUUUACGGCUAUGGACCUUUCCUAUGUUUCCGCUUCACUUGACUAGUGAGAGGAGUCCUUUCUACCUUCCCCUGGGUUUGUGUUGGAUCCGGCGUUGGCCGAUGAGGCAAGGCACGAGCGGGAGUCGUACUUGCCGCCUAGAGAGUGAGAGUGUGGUGAGAUGUGUGUGAUGGGAUGGAUGGAUGGAUGUGUGGAAGAGAUGGAAUAAAACUUGAUGAAUUAUUACUAUAUAAUAUUGAUGAACUUACAUAGGAAAAACUACAGCCAUAUAUAUAGGCCUCUUGAAUCACCCUUGCAUUCCACUUACCACAAAGCUUACGCAAAAGCAUAGGGUGGGAGCCAGUGGCCAGUACAAAUCGUACUAAAAAUUGUUUAGCAGGUUUUGAACGUGGUCCAUGACGAUGACUACGGAGAAUAGAAGGAUUAGGUGGUCUUGUUCCUGCGCUCAAGUUUGGUUCGGAGAUGAAGGCUACGCCCGCUGAUAAACUACGCCGACUCUGAUGAUUGCCUGUGAAGGAGGAGCCUUCACCGCUGACGCGCUACAUCAACUUUGAUAUAGACCCGUGUGUGUUUCCGCUAGAAAAACGAUGUAAUAGGCUGGUUGACCAAGAGUUGUAAAGUAAAUGUGAUGUAAUCUUGUUUUUCACGAUGUAUGACUAUGAUAACAGCUGAUAUAUGAUAAUGUGAUGGAUCAAUUUUUGAAUUAUC
rnacentral:lncRNA from 1 species